rnacentral:rRNA from 1 species
GACGAACGCUGGCGGCGUGCUUAACACAUGCAAGUCGAACGGAAAGGCCCUGCUUUUGUGGGGUGCUCGAGUGGCGAACGGGUGAGUAACACGUGAGUAACCUGCCCUUGACUUUGGGAUAACUUCAGGAAACUGGGGCUAAUACCGGAUAGGAGCUCCUGCUGCAUGGUGGGGGUUGGAAAGUUUCGGCGGUUGGGGAUGGACUCGCGGCUUAUCAGCUUGUUGGUGGGGUAGUGGCUUACCAAGGCUUUGACGGGUAGCCGGCCUGAGAGGGUGACCGGCCACAUUGGGACUGGGAUACGGCCCAGACUCCUACGGGAGGCAGCAGUGGGGAAUAUUGCACAAUGGGCGGGAGCCUGAUGCAGCAACGCCGCGUGCGGGAUGACGGCCUUCGGGUUGUAAACCGCUUUCGCCUGUGACGAAGCGUGAGUGACGGUAAUGGGUAAAGAAGCACCGGCUAACUACGUGCCAGCCGCCGCCGUAA